rnacentral:sRNA from 1 species
UACCAUGGGCCAAGAUUAUAGCUGCUGA